GAUGAAGAACGCAGCGAAAUGCGAUAGGUAAUGUGAAUUGCAGAAUUCAGUGAAUCAUCGAAUCUUUGAACGCACAUUGCGCCCAUUAGUAUUCUAGUGGGCAUGCCUGUUCGAGCGUCAUUAAGUCCACUUAAGCCCUGCUUAGUGUUGGGAGACUGCUCCAGCGGUGCUACCCUGUAGCUACCCUGCAGCUCCUCAAAGACAGCGGCGGAGUUGUGGUAUCCUCUGAGCUUAGUAACUUGUUCUAGCUUUCGAGUACACCACUUCCCCUGCCGUAAAACCCUUAAUUUUUAAUGGUUGACCUCGGAUCAGGUAGGAAUACCCGCUGAACUUAAGCAUAUCAAUAGCGGAGGA
rnacentral:misc_RNA from 1 species